rnacentral:rRNA from 1 species
CUGGCGGCGUGCUUAACACAUGCAAGUCGAACGCGAAAGGGACUUCGGUCCUGAGUAAAGUGGCGCACGGGUGAGUAACGCGUAGAUAACCUGUCUUCAUGUCUGGAAUAAUGCGCCGAAAGGGGUACUAAUACCGGAUAUUCUUGCUUUUCAUAAGUUAUGCAAGCAAAGGUGGCCUCUGCAUAUGCUACUGCAUGAAGAGGGGUCUGCGUACCAUUAGCUAGUAGGUGGGGUAAUGGCCUACCUAGGCGACGAUGGUUAGCGGGUCUGAGAGGAUGAUCCGCCACACUGGCACUGGAACACGGGCCAGACUCCUACGGGAGGCAGCAGUGAGGAAUAUUGCGCAAUGGGGGAAACCCUGACGCAGCGACGCCGCGUGAGUGAAGGAAGGCCUUCGGGUCGUAAAGCUCUGUCAAGAGGAAAGAAGUGUACAAUGGCUAAUACCUGUUGUAUUUGACGGUACCUCUAAAGGAAGCACCGGCUAACUCCGUGCCAGCAGCGGC